CCAUGUUACGUCAAGUCAUGUUCGAAAUGGCGUGAGGCUCGAUGGGCUGAGUCAUGUUCGAAGUGGCAUGAGACUGGUUGGGCCGAGUUUCAAUCGAGACCCGUGGGCGUUGUAUCUAUAUGUUUUAAGUGAAUUGGUUGUGUGUAUUUCUAAUAGCUCAAGCUUUUGGGAUUAAUGGUAAGCGUCAACGAUCCGACAAGUGGUAUCGAACCAGAGGUCACGGGUUCGAUUUCCGCAUGCUGCAAAUGUGUGCAGGUGCUGGAAGGGGGAUUGUUGGCUUUAAAUAGGCCAGCAUCCUAUCCUAUGGCGGGAGGCCAUAUUGCGUCGAGUCAUGUUCGAAAUGACGUGAGGUUGGAUGGGCCGAGUCAUGUUCGAAGUGGCGUGAGGCUGAUUGAGCCGGGUCAUAAUCGAGACCUGUGGGCGCUGUAUCUAUAUGCUUUAAGUGAAUUAGUUGCGUAUUUCUAAUAGCUCAAGCUUUUGGGAUUAAUAGAAAGCGCCAACUAUCCGACAGCACCUACUAUUAUAUAGUUAAAAUGUAUACAUGAAACAUUACAUUAAAAAAAAUAAAUUUCAAGUUUUUUAAUUUUCAUGAGUGAACAAUAACAUAAUAGUCAGAAUAACUAAUAAA
rnacentral:lncRNA from 1 species